GUCAGUAGCUCAGUGGUUGGAGCAUCUGCUUUGCAUACAGAAGGUCUCUUGUUCAAUCCUUGGCAUCUCCA